rnacentral:rRNA from 1 species
UACGAAGGGGGCUAGCGUUGCUCGGAAUCACUGGGCGUAAAGGGUGCGUAGGCGGGUCUUUAAGUCAGGGGUGAAAUCCUGGAGCUCAACUCCAGAACUGCCUUUGAUACUGAGGAUCUUGAGUAUGGGAGAGGUGAGUGGAACUGCGAGUGUAGAGGUGAAAUUCGUAGAUAUUCGGAAGAACACCAGUGGCGAAGGCGGCUCACUGGACUGGUAUUGACGCUGAGGUGCGAAAGCGUGGGGAGCAAACAGG